AAGGGUGUGGCUCAGUGGUAGAGCGCGUGCUUAGCAUGCAGGAGGUCCUAGGUUCAAUCCCCGGUGCCUCCA
rnacentral:tRNA from 1 species